CAGCCGCCACGGUAAUACGAAGGGUGCAAGCGUUACUCGGAAUUACUGGGCGUAAAGCGUGCGUAGGUGGUGGUUUAAGUCCGUUGUGAAAGCCCUGGGCUCAACCUGGGAAUUGCAGUGGAUACUGGGUCACUAGAGUGUGGUAGAGGAUAGUGGAAUUUCCGGUGUAGCAGUGAAAUGCGUAGAGAUCGGAAGGAACAUCUGUGGCGAAGGCGGCCAUCUGGGACAACACUGACGCUGAGGCACGAAAGCGUGGGGAGCAAACAGGAUUAGAUACCCGCGUAGUCCCUGUCUCUUAUAC
rnacentral:rRNA from 1 species